GUGARAGGUUGCUCACCCAACACUGGGAYKGAGACACUGCCCAAACUCCUACGGGAGCCUGCAGUCGAGAAUCUUCCGCAAUGGGCRCAAGCCUGACGGACCAAUCCCGCGUGAGGGAAGAAGGCCUUCGGGUUGUAAACCUCUGUCACCCGGGACGAAAACAAUGACGGUACCGGGAGAGGAAGUCACGGCUAAGUACGUGCCAGCAGCCGCGGUAAUACGUAGGUGGCGAGCGUUAUUCGGAUUCACUGGGCGUAAAGGGUCCGCAGGGGGCCUGCCAAGUCUGUCGUGAAAUCCCGGGGCUCAACCCCGGGUCUGCGGUGGAAACAGGCGGGCUGGAGUGUGUGAGGGGCAGACGGAACACCUGGUGUAGCGGUGGAAUGCGUGGAUAUCAGGUGGAACACCGAUGGCGAAGGCGGUCUGCUGGCACACAACUGACCCUCAGGGACGAAAGCGUGGGUAGCAAACAGGAUUAGAUACCCUGGUAGUCCACGCUGUAAACGUUGAGAACUAGAUAUGGUGGGGCUGGCCCCCUCCGUGUCCAAGCAAACGCGAUAAGUUCUCCGCCUGGGGACUACGGCCGCAAGGCUAAAACUCAAAGGAAUUGACGG
rnacentral:rRNA from 1 species